rnacentral:tRNA from 1 species
AGAGCUUUAACGUAAUUUUAUUCGCUUUCUCUUCCAGUUUAACUUAUCUAGUCUAUCUAGUCCCGUAGCUCAGGUGGUUAGAGCGCUACACUGAUAAUGUAGAGGUCCGCGGUUCAAGUCCGCGCGGGACUACAUUAUCGGAGAGACUUGCGGGUUAGGAGGCAGGAAAGACAGAGGGGGAUUAGCUCAGCUGGCUAGAGCGCCUGCCUUGCACGCAGGAGGUCGUCGGUUCGACUCCGACAUUCUCCACGACUCUUCUACAGUCUUCGUUUACGAAGGCGCCUGAAGGAUAAGUUCUUUGACAUGUUGGAAAAUCAAGUUUGUAAAUAAUUUUAAUUAAUUAUUUAAAAUAAUUUAAGUAGAAUAACAAGU